AUGGCUCAUCCCUUGGGAGAGAAGGCUGCAGAAGCACAAUGCCUGGUAAAAGGGACUAGACGAGCCAACAGGAGUUCUCGUGGCACCUCUGCUCUACUUCAGAAGGAACUUCAGACCCUUAAUUCCAGUGAACCUCAGUUUCCUCAUCUGAACACGGCGAGGACCCAGCAAGGACCCAGCGAGGCCACGUGUGGUUGGGGAGUCUGGGGCAAUGAAGGAGGGUCAGAAGUCAGCUGCCAUCUCUUCCUAGUCCUGUGUCAGGGCCGUGGCAUCAGAAACUUCUCCUGCCCCACCCCACCCAGGGGAGGCAUUGACCUUAACCUUGAUGGAGAAGCCCUCGGCAGGGCUGGGUGGGGAGGCGCCAGUGUGGCUGGACUGAACCAAGGCGCACAUCCCAGGAGACCAUGUGGCUAUUGAUUCCACGCGCCAAUUGUCUGGAGGGAGAGUGACAGCUUCCCGGAGACACGCAAGUGCUGUGAGUGGUAUCUAUUGGGCCACCCUGAUCUGUUAGGGACUACAGUGUGUGCCUUUGUGAUCUGAGGCUGAACAUGCACACGUGGGGAGGAGCUGGGGCACCAAAUCUCACUGGCCUCAGGGGCUGGGAGGAAGAAGAAUGCACUAUAAUAAGUGCUGUCUCUCUGCCUGUCCUACAUCGGGUAAUUUGCUGUGUUGAGAUUCUUUGUUAGAUUAAAGAGAGGCCAGAGGGAGCCUGUGAGGAAGCAGGUGCACUAUAGAAAACAAUGAAAUGCUCUCUCACCUGCAUCACUGUACUUGCUGGGCAGAGCAAGAAGACACUGCCGAAAAGGAGAAAGAGGAAGCCCUCAUUUCUUAACUUGUUUGUCUCCCAUUGUCAAGAGUGUGUACAUUAUCAGGGGCAUUUCCUAGCAAAAUGGGAAUUCUGGAAGAACUCUAUUCCACUUAAUAGACAGAGUGAAAUAUGCGUGACAAAUCCCGCUUUGAGGAAAAAGGCCUGCGGCUCCAUCUCAAGUCCAGAACUUUCCCCCUGAGCUGCCCACACAGACCUUGUGCCCACCCUGCUGUGUUGGGUGUAAAGAGCAAGAACAAGCCGCGGAUGGGGGCAUAGGGAUCGGGGAAUCGCAGAAUUAAAGACAGCUCAAAUUUGCAGUGCCUCUGUCCACCUGUAGAAUCCUCCCACAGGGAGGGGUGGCCCUGGCUGACACAGCUGCUGCUUCUGCCAUCCCUCCUUGGCCCACCACCGCCUCAAGGGCCCUGCCGGGCCGGCUCUGGCUGUUCCGGAGCUGGGAGUGGUUCUCUGUAGGCCACUCACCCUGGUCUGCCUGGCCUGGGAGACUAGUAUGAUUAUUUGACUAGCCCCUCUAAAGGUCAAACUCCUUGAGAGUGGGGAAUAUAUCUUAAGCAUUGUUGAGCCCCCCGGAGUUCUGAGCUCAGUGCCUUG
rnacentral:lncRNA from 1 species